rnacentral:rRNA from 1 species
UCAGAACGAACGCUGGCGGCAGGUCUUAGGCAUGCAAGUCGAACGGAUGACAAGGGAGCUUGCUCCUUGAAGUCAGUGGCGCACGAGUGAGUAACGCGUGGGAAACUGCCCUUCACUGGGGAAUAACGUUUGGAAACGAACGCUAAUACCGCAUACGCCCGCAAGGGGAAAGAUUUAUCGGUGAUGGAUGUGCCCGCGUUGGAUUAGCUAGUUGGUGGGGUAAUGGCCUACCAAGGCGAUGAUCCAUAGCUGGUCUGAGAGGACGAUCAGCCACGCUGGAACUGAGACACGGUCCAGACUCCUACGGGAGGCAGCAGCUAAGAAUAUUGGGCAAUGGAGGAAACUCUGACCCAGCCCAUGCCGCGUGAAUGAAGAAGGCCUUCGGGUUGUAAAGUUCUUUUAGUCAUGAAGAUGAUGACAGUAGUGACAGAAAAAGCACCGGCUAACUUCGUGCCAGCCGCCGC